UGUGAGGCAGGUGCUGGAACCACUGAGCUAAAUCCCUGGCCCAAUUUUACUUCAUUUAGGGAGCUUUUUUCAGCUUGGGCCAGACACCCAUGGUUUCAGAUAGCCUGGGAACACGGGACACUGACCGCCGUGGCUUGUUAGUUGCAAAGCCUCGGUGGCAGAGUGGCCGGCACACCAGUGACAGGACGCGAGAGCCCAUCCGUCUGCACAGCCUAACUGUAUCUUGGAAAAGGAGACCGGGAGUCCCUGCAUGGCUGUCAGGGUCAGGCGUGAUGGCCCUGGGAUGUCAGGAGCAUUGGCCGGGUUCAGUCUGAGUCCACUGUCACUCUAGGAACAGCGCUCACAUUUUGACUCCACCUCAACUUUCUUGGAAGAUGAAGUCCUUUGAGGCAGAGAGGACCAGGACGCACCUCCAGUUUGGUGUACCUUGGAGAGACCUGUGCAGGGUGUCCAGACCCAAGAUGCGCCCUGCACUCUUUUUCUCAGUGAGCUUUACACACAGUUAAAACCGAGUAAUUUCAUGACCAUUAGCAAGCAAAUGGUCCUUAUUAUUCGUCCUAUUUUCUUGUAAUCUACAUAGCAAUUCAAGCUGAAAAGCAGUAAUUUAUCUUGUUUUUCCCCUGGUCCCUCUCCAAACACGUUAUUGUUCCCCAAGGAGCUUAACAUAUACUCUCAGCUCUCAAACAAUUCCUGCACCCAAUAGAAACAGAACGCCAAUUAGACCGGUAAUUUUAGCCCCCCUGCCUUGAAUAAUUUCCCUCCACAGAAUUAUCUUCUCUCUUCUUAUUGCAAUUAUGAAGAUUACAUUUUAUUUGACAUGAGAAAAUUGCAACAGAAGACCCAAGAGCAAAUAUGAAAGGGAAAAAUGAUUAAAUGGAAAGAAUCUGCUGGAUAAAAAGGCACAUCCCUGUCAGCUCCAAUUCCGAUAAGAAAAUGCCCUAUUGUUAUUGGAUGAUUUAAUGAACAUUAAAUUCUUUAAAAUGUAGAAAACAUCGUAUUUUACAAUAUGUUUUCAGACU